GCGACGCCUUGGAACCCCGAGGGCCGGCGGGGCGGGGCGGAGCUCCCGGGAAGGCUCGAGCGGGAUCAAGAUCCUGGGCGCGCCCUCCCGCCCGCGGGCACGGGGCUCUGCGCCGGUUCCCGCCCUCCCCCCAGGCCCCCGGGGCCUGUCGCCGAGGACUGUCGCCUGGAGGACUUCGGGGAGGAGGUGGCGCCCGGCGACGUGGGCCUCGUCGACUCCGGCAGCCGCGGCUGCGGACGCAAGGAGUCGGCCCCGCGACGGAUUAAAGGAUUAAAGGUUCCCUUCGCGGUUACCCGUCCGCGCGCGUGGGCUCCGGCGCGUUGGGGCUCAGCGUUGGCCGGACGCCCCCGCUCCCGGUGCGCGGGGGGACGCCGUUCCCCGGGGCCUCUGCGAGCGGCGUCCUGGGGAACUGGAGACCUGGAGGGCUUGCGAGGUCAUCGCGGGAAAGCCCGAGACCCGGCUUGGGAAUCCCUGCGCGGGCAGCAGGGCGGUUACGAACGUGGCUCUGCGAAAACAGCUGUGCGGCUUGAGAUGAACCUGAGAUAGCUUAAAAAAAAAAAAAAACUGCUGUGAAAUGUGCACCUGAACCUGAUUGGCAUUCCUAAAGGGGUGAUUAAUUCUCUUGUGCCUUUUUUUUUUUUUUUUUUUGGUUAGGAUUCUAUACUCCAGGCCAAAUAACUUUUUUUUUUUUUUUUAAGAUUCACAGGAGAAUUAGUUGUAGAGGCCACUUUUAGGCAACAGGCAUAAUAAGCACUUGGAAACCUGAGUCGGGCAGAGGUGCCCACAGUGACCAGGGGACUGAAUGCAAACAGACUCAUUAGGCGACCCACCUAAAAAUAGCCAUAGACCUAAGCUGAGGAAUGGGCUACCUGCAACCGGGCACAGGUACCCAAACACGAAAAUUCCAUGUUCCCAUCCCUCCUCACCACCUCCUAAACUACAGCCCAACACUGCCUCCUGACAGUCUCUCCUUUGCUUUCCUGACCAGCUAACUGGAAAUUCAAUAAACUUCUAUCACCUUUGUUCUGCCUCA
rnacentral:lncRNA from 1 species